UACGUAGGGUGCAAGCGUUAAUCGGAAUUACUGGGCGUAAAGCGUGCGCAGGCGGUUCUGUAAGACAGAUGUGAAAUCCCCGGGCUCAACCUGGGAACUGCAUUUGUGACUGUAGAGCUGGAGUACGGUAGAGGGGGAUGGAAUUCCGCGUGUAGCAGUGAAAUGCGUAGAUAUGCGGAGGAACACCGAUGGCGAAGGCAAUCCCCUGGACCUGUACUGACGCUCAUGCACGAAAGCGUGGGGAGCAAACAGG
rnacentral:rRNA from 1 species